rnacentral:rRNA from 1 species
UAGGGAAUCUUCGGCAAUGGGGGCAACCCUAACCGAGCAACGCCGCGUGAGUGAAGAAGGUUUUCGGAUCGUAAAGCUCUGUUGUAAGAGAAGAACGUGUGUGAGAGUGGAAAGUUCACACAGUGACGGUAACUUACCAGAAAGGGACGGCUAACUACGUGCCAGCAGCCGCGGUAAUACGUAGGUCCCGAGCGUUGUCCGGAUUUAUUGGGCGUAAAGCGAGCGCAGGCGGUUUAAUAAGUCUGAAGUUAAAGGCAGUGGCUUAACCAUUGUUCGCUUUGGAAACUGUUAAACUUGAGUGCAGAAGGGGAGAGUGGAAUUCCAUGUGUAGCGGUGAAAUGCGUAGAUAUAUGGAGGAACACCGGUGGCGAAAGCGGCUCUCUGGUCUGUAACUGACGCUGAGGCUCGAAAGCGUGGGGAGCAAACAGGA